rnacentral:rRNA from 1 species
AGUGAGGAAUAUUGGUCAAUGGGCGCAAGCCUGAACCAGCCAUCCCGCGUGCAGGAAGACGGCCCUAUGGGUUGUAAACUGCUUUUCCAGGGAGAGAAACUUACGCACGUGUUGCGUGACUGACGGUACCCUGGGAAUAAGCAUCGGCUAACUCCGUGCCAGCAGCCGCGGUAAUACGGAGGAUGCAAGCGUUAUCCGGAUUCAUUGGGUUUAAAGGGUGCGUAGGCGGGCUAUUAAGUCAGUGGUGAAAUCCUGCAGCUUAACUGCAGAACUGCCGUUGAUACUGAUAGUCUUGAGUUUGGUUAAGGUAGGCGGAAUGUGUAAUGUAGCGGUGAAAUGCUUAGAUAUUACACAGAACACCAAUUGCGUAGGCAGCUUACUGAGCCGACACUGACGCUGAGGCACGAAAGCGUGGGGAUCAAACAGGAUUAGAUACCCUGGUAGUCCACGCCGUAAACGAUGAUUACUCGCUGUUGGCGAUACACUGUCAGCGGCUAAGCAAAAGCAAUAAGUAAUCCACCUGGGGAGUACGGCCGCAAGGUUGAAACUCAAAGGAAUUGACGGGGGCCCGCACAAGCGGAGGAACAUGUGGUUAAUUCGAUGAUACGCGAGGAACCUUACCUGGGCUUAAAUGUAGAGUGCAUUUUCUAGAGAUAGAAAUUCCCUUCGGGGCUUUCUGCAAGGUGCUGCAUGGUUGUCGUCAGCUCGUGCCGUGAGGUGUCGGGUUAAGUCCCAUAACGAGCGCAACCCUUAUCGUUAGUUGCCAGCUGGUAAAGCAGGGGACUCUAGCGAAACUGCCACCGUAAGGUGAGAGGAAGGUGGGGAUGACGUCAAAUCAGCACGGCCCUUAUGUCCAGGGCUACACACGUGUUACAAUGGCCGGUACAGAGGGCUGCUACCUGGUGACAGGAUGCUAAUCUCGAAAACCGGUCUCAGUUCGGAUCGAAGUCUGCAACUCGACUUCGUGAAGCCGGAUUCGCUAGUAAUCGCGCAUCAGCAACGGCGCGGUGAAUACGUUCCCGGGCCUUGUACACACCGCCCGUCAAGCCAUUGGAAGCUGGGGGUGCCUGAAGUCCGUAACCGCAAGGAGCGGCCUAGGGUAAAACUAGUGACUGGGGCU